CAGUCGCCGCGGGAAUACAGAGGGUGCAAGCGUUAAUCGGAAUUACUGGGCGUAAAGCGCGCGUAGGUGGUUCGCCAAGUUGGAUGUGAAAUCCCCGGGCUCAACCUGGGAACUGCAUCCAAAACUGGCGAGCUAGAGUAUGGUAGAGGGUGGUGGAAUUUCCUGUGUAGCGGUGAAAUGCGUAGAUAUAGGAAGGAACAUCAGUGGCGAAGGCGACCACCUGGACUGAUACUGACACUGAGGCACGAAAGCGUGGGGAGCAAACAGGAUUAGAUACCCCAGUAGUCCCUGUCUCUUAUAC
rnacentral:rRNA from 1 species